CUUCCUUCAGGUCCCUGUUCAGGUGCCACCUGCAACAGACCGCUACAGUGGAAGAGCAGCAGGAA
rnacentral:miRNA from 1 species